UACGUAGGGGGCAAGCGUUGUCCGGAUUUAUUGGGCGUAAAGAGCGUGUAGGCGGCCAGACAGGUCCGUUGUGAAAACUAGAGGCUUAACCUCUAGACGUCGAUGGAAACCGUCUGGCUAGAGUCCGGAAGAGGAGAAUGGAAUUCCUGGUGUAGCGGUGAAACUGCGCAGAUAUCAGGAAGAACACCCGUGGCUAAGGCGGUUCUCUAGUACGGUACUGACGCUGGGACGCGAAAGCGUGGGGAGCGAACAGG
rnacentral:rRNA from 1 species